rnacentral:rRNA from 1 species
AAAUCCGGGGUACUCUAUGCUGAGAUCUGAUAGCAAGCUGUACUUGUACAGCGAAGUGGUUGAUGCCAUGCUUCCAGGAAAAGUCUCUAAGCUUCAGUUACACAGGAAUCGUACCCGAAACCGACACAGGUGGUCAGGUCGAGUAGACCAAGGCGCUUGAGAGAACUCUGCUGAAGGAACUAGGCAAAAUGGUACCGUAACUUCGGGAGAAGGUACGCUGUUGUUGGUGAUGGAACUCGCUUCCUGAGCUGACGACAGCCGCAGAAACCAGGCCGCUGCAACUGUUUAUUAAAAACAUAGCACUCUGCAAACACGAAAGUGGACGUAUAGGGUGUGAUGCCUGCCCGGUGCUGGAAGGUUAAUUGAUGGGGUUAGCGUAAGCGAAGCUCUUGAUCGAAGCCCCAGUAAACGGCGGCCGUAACUAUAACGGUCCUAAGGUAGCGAAAUUCCUUGUCGGGUAAGUUCCGACCUGCACGAAUGGCAUAAUGAUGGCGGCGCUGUCUCCAGCAGAGGCUCAGUGAAAUCGAAAUCGCUGUGAAGAUGCAGUGUACCCGCGGCUAGACGGAAAGACCCCGUGAACCUUUACUGCAGCUUGACACUGAACUUUGACCUUACUUGUGUAGGAUAGGUGGGAGGCUUUGAAGCUGGAACGCUAGUUCCAGUGGAGCCGUCCUUGAAAUACCACCCUGGUAAUGUUGAGGUUCUAACUCUGUCCCGUGAUCCGGGACGAGGACCGUGUCUGGUGGGUAGUUUGACUGGGGCGGUCUCCUCCUAAAGAGUAACGGAGGAGUACGAAGGUGCGCUCAGCGUGGUCGGAAAUCACGCGUAGAGUAUAAAGGCAAAAGCGCGCUUAACUGCGAGACCCACAAGUCGAGCAGGUACGAAAGUAGGUCUUAGUGAUCCGGUGGUUCUGUAUGGAAGGGCCAUCGCUCAACGGAUAAAAGGUACUCUGGGGAUAACAGGCUGAUACCGCCCAAGAGUUCAUAUCGACGGCGGUGUUUGGCACCUCGAUGUCGGCUCAUCUCAUCCUGGGGCUGAAGCAGGUCCCAAGGGUAUGGCUGUUCGCCAUUUAAAGAGGUACGCGAGCUGGGUUUAGAACGUCGUGAGACAGUUCGGUCCCUAUCUACCGUGGGCGCUGGAAAUUUGAGAGGAUCUGCUCCUAGUACGAGAGGACCAGAGUGGACGAACCUCUGGUGUACCGGUUGUGACGCCAGUCGCAUCGCCGGGUAGCUAUGUUCGGAAGGGAUAACCGCUGAAAGCAUCUAAGCGGGAAGCCUACCUCAAGAUAAGAUUUCCCUAGGACUUUAUGUCCUCUAAAGAGCCGUUCGAGACUAGGACGUUGAUAGGUUGGAUGUGGAAGCAUAGUGAUAUGUGAAGCUGACCAAUACUAAUUGCUCGUGAGGCUUGACUAUACAACACCCAAGCAGUUG